UACGGGGGGGGCAAGCGUUGUUCGGAAUUACUGGGCGUAAAGGGCUCGUAGGCGGCCAACUAAGUCCGACGUGAAAUCCCCAGGCUUAACCUGGGAACUGCGUCGGAUACUGGAUGGCUUGAAUCCGGGAGAGGGAUGCAGAAUUCCAGGUGUAGCGGUGAAAUGCGUAGAUAUCUGGAGGAAUACCGGUGGCGAAGGCGGCAUCCUGGACCGGCAUUGACGCUGAAGCGCGAAAGCUAGGGGAGCAAGCGGG
rnacentral:rRNA from 1 species